rnacentral:rRNA from 1 species
GACGUAGGGCGCGAGCGUUGUCCGGAUUUAUUGGGCGUAAAGAGCUCGUAGGCGGCUUGUUGCGUCGUUCGUGAAAACUCACAGCUCAACUGUGAGCUUGCGGUCGAUACGGGCAGGCUAGAGUUCGGUAGGGGAGACUGGAAUUCUUGGUGUAGCGGUGAAAUGCGUAGAUAUCAAGAGGAACACCUGCGGCGAAGGCGGGUUGCUGGGCCGACACUGACGCUGAGGCGCGAAAGCCAGGGGAGCGAACGGG